AAGGGGAUCUCAAUAAAUCUCCAGGUUUCCGUCCUGCUGCGGGGACGGGACGCUGUCUCCCCGAGCCCAGCCUUCCCUUCCCUUCCUCUCUCCAGCAGAACGUCUCCGCCGAAGCCCGGCAGAACGCCAGCGUGGCCAUCCUGCCCGUGGUGGCCACCAACGCCACCUGCUCCGUCCGCGUGGCUGCUGUCACCAAGGGGGGAGUGGGACCUUUCAGCAGCCCAGUGGAGGUCUUCAUCCCUGGCGGUGGAUUAAUAACCUCCGCCCCCUCUUCGACUCCAGCCUCUGGGAACGCGGACUCCUUUGUCAUAGCCCUGGGCUUUAUCUGUGGGACAAUUGCUGUGGGGCUGAUCCUCUGCUUGACUGUGGUCAUCCAGAAAAGAUGCGUGGAAACAAAAUAUGGGAAUGCUUUCAGCAGAAACGACUCAGAGCUGGCAGUGAACUACACGGCCAAGAAGUCCUACUGCCGGAGAGCUGUUGAACUUACAC